rnacentral:rRNA from 1 species
UGCAGUCUAACUGGUUUAGCAAUAAAUCGGUGGCAAACGGGUGAGUAAUGCGUAGGAAUCUACCCAAGAUUAAGGAAUAUGUACUAGAAAUAGUAAGCAAUACCUUAUAAUUCCUGAGGGAAAAAGAUUUAUCGAUCUUGGAUGAGCCUGCGUGGGAUUAGCUAGUUGGUGAGGUAAUGGCUCACCAAGGCUGUGAUCUCUAGCCGACCUGAGAGGGUGGUCGGCCACACUGGGACUGAGACACGGCCCAGACUCCUACGGGAGGCAGCAGUGGGGAAUAUUGGACAAUGGGCGAAAGCCUGAUCCAGCUAUGUCGCGUGAAUGAUGAAGGUCUUCGGAUUGUAAAGUUCUUUUAGUAGGGAAGAUAAUGACGGUACCUACAGAAAAAGCUCCGGCUAACUUCGUGCCAGCAGCCGCGGUAAUACGAAGGGAGCUAGCGUUAUUCGGAAUGAUUGGGCGUAAAGGACACGUA